UACGUAGGGGGCUAGCGUUGUUCGGAAUUACUGGGCGUAAAGAGCGCGUAGGCGGUCUUGUAAGUCAGAUGUGAAAGCUCCGUGAGCAACCCGGGAAUAGCAUUUGAUACUGCGAGGAUUGGGUCCGGGAGAAGAUGGCGGAAUUCCCAGUGUAUAGGUGAAAUUCGUAUUUAUUGGGAAGAACACCGGUGGCGAAGGCGGCCAUCUGGACCGGUACUGACGCUGAGGCGCGAAAGCGUGGGGAGCAGACAGG
rnacentral:rRNA from 1 species